rnacentral:other from 1 species
GCAGCCCUGCGAGAUGCGUGAAACCCUCAGAGUUUGAGCCAACACAAACUAAGAGGGAGCCCGGCUCUGCCGGUUGCGUGACACUUCGCCCUGAGGAGCUCGCCUCCUCCACGCGAGGCACACAAUGCCGGUGGGAGGGCACCCACUUUCCUGAUGGGUUCAUAACCCACAGGGUCAACGGUCAUCGCGGGGUCCUC